GCUGGGCGUUGGGAAGAGAGCGCCGCCGGCCGUGGGGGACGGACGCGCUGAUUUGCUCCCCUACUCUCAGCACCCACCACACACCCAGCACCAGAUCCAGGGCCCCAAAACUCUUCUUCCAGCUGAACUCCCUGGGAAUAAGUCAGCUGGGCUGAUCACUGAAUUCACAUUUCUGGAAUUGAGGAGCCUGUACCUCCCACACCUGCACCUGGCUGAGCCGCAGUAGUUCUUCAGUGGCAAGCUUUAUGUCCUGACCCAGCUAAAGCUGCCAGUUGAAGAACUGUUGCCCUCUGCCCCUGGCUUCGAGGAGGAGGAGGAGCUGCUUUCCCCCUCGUCUGGAAGGUGACAUAACGGUCCGGGAAGGUCCAAACAGCAGGAGUGGUGAUGAUAACCUUUCAGGAAAGGGAACCCUGUUCCUCUGAAGAGUCUUCACCUUGACUGGCACAGCCAGACAGCAGUUUUAGAUCAGAAACCCUGACUGAAUUAGGGAAUUGGAUGGCUCUGACUACCCAAGGUCAGUCAGUGUUUGUGUGAUAAUGGGGAGAAGUGGAGCAAAGAAGACCCUGUCUGUCCCUUUAUCCAGAUGUUUUUCUUGACCUUCCUUCCUUAUCCCUCAUUUUUCCCCAUGGUCUUUCCAGGUGGGGUCCAGAAGUAAGCUGUGUCUUGGGGAGCAUUUCAUACUGAAACUCUCCAUCUGAGUAGUCAUGCCCCCACUCUUCACUUUCCCUGUGUUUCCAUAGACUGGUUCACACUCUAGAUUCAGGGAUAUUUAGUGUAUGUGGGACCCUUAGACCCCCUGUCUCAGUUUCUCUGCCUACCCAUGAGGUGGGGAAAUCACCCACUUAAGGGAAUCAGAAGCCCAUCGUGCAGACUCAGAGCUUGGGGUGGGAAGAAAACUGCUUUUCACUUAAGCUGUUGCCCCUCCUCCCUCCCUGACUGUAACCCCAGGAUGUGGGGGUAGGGGUUGGAGAGUUAGAAGAGCUAGUAGAAGCUCAAUCUCUACAUGGACUUUUCAUCAUGCAAAGGUGGCACCAGGUGUCCUCCACUCCCCAAAACAGGACUGCAGCUCCCAUGGGGCUCCAGCUACCACUGCUCUCUUUCCUCACUUCACUUUCCAGGCUAGUGUGUGAGACUCAGCUCAGGCCUGUAUGGGGCAGGAACUACAUGCCCCCCACCCCGGCAACCAGGAAAGCUGAGUUCUGGGACAGAACCCCCCACUUUGGGGCAUCAGACUGUGUAAACCUGCCACCCCCAGCUCCUGAUCCAAUCUCACUCUUUGGCUUGGGCUCUGGUAUGGUUCAGCCUUUGCCCAGUCUCCCUGCCUGAAAGUAGCCAUAUCCUGGGGCUGCAGGAAGCUGUUUGUUCUAUUUGGGGGGAGGAGGUGUACAGGGAGCUGCAUCCUCUUCUCCAUUGAUAAGAAACUGAAAGAUUUAGGGAAAAGUAGAGUGUUGAACCAAGCUCUUGCAGCCUAAGCUGCAUGUGUGUGGGGCUGUAGUAGAAAGGGGUGGGUAGACUGAGUCCACUCAUAGACUUCAACAAAGGUCACUGUAUCCCUGGACAUUGCUGCCAUCCUUUCUUCCCCUCCUCACUUCACUGGCCACAGUAUUUCCCUCCAGCCAUGGAUAUGUGGCUCUGCCAACCUCACCUAUCAUGGAGAAGACAUGAGGACGAGCGGCCUGGGCACACAGAGGCAGGCAGAACUCGAGUGAAGAACAAGGCCCGGAGAGGGCAGGGGCCUGUCAGGGCCAGGCACACCCCAGGAAGAGGGAGGACAGCCACCCUCAGCAAGGGCAAGCUUCCAGCCACCUUCAGUCUGUCUGCCUCCUUCAGAGAUGUGGGGCCAUAUUAAAGUGUCCUGUGGUUUCAUCCUCACCCUUCCACCUCUCCUCCAUCCUAUAAUUUUUAUAUAAGCAGCUUUAAGGAACAAGAGCCAGCUGUGAAAUAUAUAGGAAAUUCAUGAAAAAUUGAAAUGGAUAAAACCAUGGGGGAAAAAAGUGUGCUUCAUUAGUAAUUAAAGAGCAGCAAAUAGAGCUAUAAGCAAUUUUCCCAUAGCAGACUAUAUCAGAAAAAAAUAAGACCUAGUUGUUGGCAAAGGGUACUAAAAUAACACCACCGUACAUUGCAUAUAUGGUAAUACAGAUUGGUACAGUCUUCUUGGAUGCAAGUUUGGUGAUAUGUAUCAAACAUUACCAUGGCCUUUGACCUAGUAAUUAUACACUUGGGAAUUAAUCCUAAGAAAAUAAUGAAAGAUUUAGUUAAAAGGUGUUCAUCCAGCAUUGCAAUAGAGAAAAAUGGGAAGCAACUUUCUGAUUGGGAAUUCAUUUCUGCUGUAAUGAAAAUGUGCAAUAGGGGAUUGCUUAAGUAAAUUAUUGUAUAUCCAUCCAGAUGGUAGAGUGCUGUGCAGCCAUUAACAUCAUGUGGAAGAACAUUUGACUGGAAAGAAAAAUGCUCUUUGAAUACUAAAAAGUUUAUAAAAAUAGUGUAGGUCUUAAUUUUGUUUUUUUAAGAUACAAGUAUGUACUUGCAUAAUACAUAGAUAAAGACUGAGGACAUACUCUGGAAUGUUGAUAUUAGUGGUUAUUUUGAAUGUUGGAAUAAGGUCAUCAUAUUUUCCUUCUGUAAUUUUCCAAGUGUGCUGUAAUUUUUUUUGUAAUUUCCAAAUCUGCUAUAUUAAUUUUGUAUGGCUUUCAUAUAACAAAUAAAAUUGAA